AGGGGUUUGAUCCUGGCUCAGAACGAACGCUGGCGGCAGGCCUAACACAUGCAAGUCGAGCGCGGCGCCGGCCUUCGGGUCGGCUGUCCGAGCGGCGGACGGGUGAGUAGCGCGUGGGCACCUGCCCUCUGGUACGGGACAACCCCGGGAAACUGGGGCUAAUACCGUAUGUGCUCUCCGGCUUUAAGUCGGAGAGGAAAGAUUCAUCGCCAGGGGAUGGGCCCGCGUCCGAUUAGGUAGUUGGUGUGGUAACGGCGCACCAAGCCUGCGAUCGGUAGCUGGUCUGAGAGGAUGAUCAGCCACACUGGGACUGAGACACGGCCCAGACUCCUACGGGAGGCAGCAGUGGGGAAUAUUGGACAAUGGGGGCAACCCUGAUCCAGCCAUGCCGCGUGAGUGAAGAAGGCCCUAGGGUUGUAAAGCUCUUUCGCCGGGGGAAGAUAAUGACGGUACCCGG
rnacentral:rRNA from 1 species